rnacentral:rRNA from 1 species
UACGGGGGGAGCAAGCGUUGUUCGGAUUUACUGGGCGUAAAGGGCGCGUAGGCGGUGCGACAAGUCACUUGUGAAAUCUCCGGGCUCAACUCGGAACGGCCAAGUGAUACUGUCGCGCUAGAGUGCGGAAGGGGCAACUGGAAUUCUCGGUGUAGCGGUGAAAUGCGUAGAUAUCGAGAGGAACACCUGAGGCGAAGGCGGGUUGCUGGGCCGACACUGACGCUGAGGCGCG